AACAUGUUUCCUGCCUCUAGCGUGUCGAACCCCUUAAUAAUCUUAUAUGUUUCAAUUAGAUAUCCUCUCAUCCUUCUAAAUUCCAGAUUAUACAAACCCAGUCUCUCCAUUCGUUCGACACAUGACAGUCCCGCCAUCCCGGGAAUUGACCUGGUUCCUCAAAGGGUCUCGACCCGAAACGUCACCCAUU